GGCCUCGUAGCUCUGUUGGCUAGAGCGAAGCUCUACUAUAGCCUUCGCCUUGAGGGCGUGAGUUUGAAUCCCAUUGAGUCCA
rnacentral:tRNA from 1 species